rnacentral:rRNA from 1 species
UACGUAGGGUCCGAGCGUUGUCCGGAAUUAUUGGGCGUAAAGAGCUCGUAGGCGGUCUGUCGCGUCGGCUGUGAAAACUCAGGGCUCAACCCUGAGCCUGCAGUCGAUACGGGCAGACUAGAGUUCGGUAGGGGAGACUGGAAUUCCUGGUGUAGCGGUGAAAUGCGCAGAUAUCAGGAGGAACACCGGUGGCGAAGGCGGGUCUCUGGGCCGAAACUGACGCUGAGGAGCGAAAGCGUGGGGAGCAAAAGGG